rnacentral:ncRNA from 1 species
GCGGGAUACGUCCCGCCGGAAUGUGGCUUAAGACCUAAGCUGAACCAUGAA